UUAAGUUAUUAAGGGCGCACGGUGGAUGCCUUGGCACUAGAAGCCGAUGAAGGACGUUACUAACGACGAUAUGCUUUGGGGAGCUGUAAGUAAGCUUUGAUCCAGAGAUUUCCGAAUGGGGAAACCCAGCAUGAGUUAUGUCAUGUUAUCGAUAUGUGAAUACAUAGCAUAUCAGAAGGCACACCCGGAGAACUGAAACAUCUUAGUACCCGGAGGAAGAGAAAGAAAAUUCGAUUCCCUUAGUAGCGGCGAGCGAAACGGGAAGAGCCCAAACCAACAAGCUUGCUUGUUGGGGUUGUAGGACACUCUAUACGGAGUUACAAAGGACGACAUUAGACGAAUCAUCUGGAAAGAUGAAUCAAAGAAGGUAAUAAUCCUGUAGUCGAAAAUGUUGUCUCUCUUGAGUGGAUCCUGAGUACGACGGAGCACGUGAAAUUCCGUCGGAAUCUGGGAGGACCAUCUCCUAAGGCUAAAUACUCUCUAGUGACCGAUAGUGAACCAGUACCGUGAGGGAAAGGUGAAAAGCACCCCGGAAGGGGAGUGAAAUAGAACCUGAAACCGUGUGCUUACAAGUAGUCAGAGCCCGUUAAUGGGUGAUGGCGUGCCUUUUGUAGAAUGAACCGGCGAGUUACGAUUUGAUGCAAGGUUAAGCAGUAAAUGUGGAGCCGUAGCGAAAGCGAGUCUGAAUAGGGCGUUUAGUAUUUGGUCGUAGACCCGAAACCAGGUGAUCUACCCUUGGUCAGGUUGAAGUUCAGGUAACACUGAAUGGAGGACCGAACCGACUUACGUUGAAAAGUGAGCGGAUGAACUGAGGGUAGCGGAGAAAUUCCAAUCGAACCUGGAGAUAGCUGGUUCUCUCCGAAAUAGCUUUAGGGCUAGCCUCAAGUGAUGAUUAUUGGAGGUAGAGCACUGUUUGGACGAGGGGCCCCUCUCGGGUUACCGAAUUCAGACAAACUCCGAAUGCCAAUUAAUUUAACUUGGGAGUCAGAACAUGGGUGAUAAGGUCCGUGUUCGAAAGGGAAACAGCCCAGACCACCAGCUAAGGUCCCAAAAUAUAUGUUAAGUGGAAAAGGAUGUGGCGUUGCCCAGACAACUAGGAUGUUGGCUUAGAAGCAGCCAUCAUUUAAAGAGUGCGUAAUAGCUCACUAGUCGAGUGACACUGCGCCGAAAAUGUACCGGGGCUAAACAUGUUACCGAAGCUGUGGAUUGUCCUUUGGACAAUGGUAGGAGAGCGUUCUAAGGGCGUUGAAGCAUGAUCGUAAGGACAUGUGGAGCGCUUAGAAGUGAGAAUGCCGGUGUGAGUAGCGAAAGACGGGUGAGAAUCCCGUCCACCGAUUGACUAAGGUUUCCAGAGGAAGGCUCGUCCGCUCUGGGUUAGUCGGGUCCUAAGCUGAGGCCGACAGGCGUAGGCGAUGGAUAACAGGUUGAUAUUCCUGUACCACCUAUAAUCGUUUUAAUCGAUGGGGGGACGCAGUAGGAUAGGCGAAGCGUGCGAUUGGAUUGCACGUCUAAGCAGUAAGGCUGAGUAUUAGGCAAAUCCGGUACUCGUUAAGGCUGAGCUGUGAUGGGGAGAAGACAUUGUGUCUUCGAGUCGUUGAUUUCACACUGCCGAGAAAAGCCUCUAGAUAGAAAAUAGGUGCCCGUACCGCAAACCGACACAGGUAGUCAAGAUGAGAAUUCUAAGGUGAGCGAGCGAACUCUCGUUAAGGAACUCGGCAAAAUGACCCCGUAACUUCGGGAGAAGGGGUGCUCUUUAGGGUUAACGCCCAGAAGAGCCGCAGUGAAUAGGCCCAAGCGACUGUUUAUCAAAAACACAGGUCUCUGCUAAACCGUAAGGUGAUGUAUAGGGGCUGACGCCUGCCCGGUGCUGGAAGGUUAAGAGGAGUGGUUAGCUUCUGCGAAGCUACGAAUCGAAGCCCCAGUAAACGGCGGCCGUAACUAUAACGGUCCUAAGGUAGCGAAAUUCCUUGUCGGGUAAGUUCCGACCCGCACGAAAGGCGUAACGAUUUGGGCACUGUCUCAACGAGAGACUCGGUGAAAUCAUAGUACCUGUGAAGAUGCAGGUUACCCGCGACAGGACGGAAAGACCCCGUGGAGCUUUACUGUAGCCUGAUAUUGAAAUUCGGCACAGCUUGUACAGGAUAGGUAGGAGCCUUUGAAACGUGAGCGCUAGCUUACGUGGAGGCGCUGGUGGGAUACUACCCUAGCUGUGUUGGCUUUCUAACCCGCACCACUUAUCGUGGUGGGAGACAGUGUCAGGCGGGCAGUUUGACUGGGGCGGUCGCCUCCUAAAAGGUAACGGAGGCGCUCAAAGGUUCCCUCAGAAUGGUUGGAAAUCAUUCAUAGAGUGUAAAGGCAUAAGGGAGCUUGACUGCGAGACCUACAAGUCGAGCAGGGUCGAAAGACGGACUUAGUGAUCCGGUGGUUCCGCAUGGAAGGGCCAUCGCUCAACGGAUAAAAGCUACCCCGGGGAUAACAGGCUUAUCUCCCCCAAGAGUUCACAUCGACGGGGAGGUUUGGCACCUCGAUGUCGGCUCAUCGCAUCCUGGGGCUGUAGUCGGUCCCAAGGGUUGGGCUGUUCGCCCAUUAAAGCGGUACGCGAGCUGGGUUCAGAACGUCGUGAGACAGUUCGGUCCCUAUCCGUCGUGGGCGUAGGAAAUUUGAGAGGAGCUGUCCUUAGUACGAGAGGACCGGGAUGGACAUACCUCUGGUGUACCAGUUGUCGUGCCAACGGCAUAGCUGGGUAGCUAUGUGUGGACGGGAUAAGUGCUGAAAGCAUCUAAGCAUGAAGCCCCCCUCAAGAUGAGAUUUCCCAACUUCGGUUAUAAGAUCCCUCAAAGAUGAUGAGGUUAAUAGGUUCGAGGUGGAAGCAUGGUGACAUGUGGAGCUGACGAAUACUAAUCGAUCGAAGACUUAAUCAA
rnacentral:rRNA from 1 species